UCGUCAGCUCGUGUCGUGAGAUGUCGGGUUAAGUCCCAUAACGAGCGAAACCCUUACCUCUAGUUGCAACCGCAAGGGCACUCUAGAGGGACUGCCGGUGUUAAACCGGAGGAAGGCGGGGAUGACGUCAAGUCCGCAUGGCUCUUACGUCUGGGGCGACACACACGCUACAAUGGGCUGGGCAGUGGGAAGCAAUAUCGCAAGAUGGAGCGAAUCCAUAAGCCAGUCCUCAGUGCAGAUCGGGGGCUGCAACUCGCCCCCGUGAAGACGGAGUUGCUAGUAAACGCGUAUCAGCCACGGCGCGUUGAAUACGUACCCGGGCCUUGUACACACCGCCCG
rnacentral:rRNA from 1 species